rnacentral:rRNA from 1 species
ACGGAAGGCAGCAGUGGGGAAUAUUGCACAAUGGGGGAAACCCUGAUGCAGCGACGCCGCGUGAGUGAUGAAGUAUUUCGGUAUGUAAAGCUCUAUCAGCAGGGAAGAAGAUGACGGUACCUGACUAAGAAGCACCGGCUAAAUACGUGCCAGCAGCCGCGGUAAUACGUAUGGUGCAAGCGUUAUCCGGAUUUACUGGGUGUAAAGGGAGCGCAGGUGGCAGGGCAAGCCAGAAGUGAAAGCCCGGGGCUCAACCCCGGGACUGCUUUUGGAACUGUCUUGCUGGAGUGCAGGAGGGGUAAGCGGAAUUCCUGGUGUAGCGGUGAAAUGCGUAGAUAUCAGGAGGAACACCGGUGGCGAAGGCGGCUUACUGGACUGUAACUGACACUGAGGCUCGAAGGCGUGGGGAGCAAACAGGAUUAGAUACCCUGGUA